rnacentral:rRNA from 1 species
UACGAAGGGGGCUAGCGUUGCUCGGAAUUACUGGGCGUAAAGGGCGCGUAGGCGGCUUCUUAAGUCAGGGGUGAAAUCCUGGAGCUCAACUCCAGAACUGCCUUUGAUACUGGGAGGCUCGAGUCCGGGAGAGGUGAGUGGAACUGCGAGUGUAGAGGUGAAAUUCGUAGAUAUUCGCAAGAACACCAGUGGCGAAGGCGGCUCACUGGCCCGGUACUGACGCUGAGGUGCGAAAGCGUGGGGAGCAAACAGG